UUGACUGUGCUAAGGUAGCAUAAUAAAUUGGCUUUUAAUUGAAGUCGGGAAUGAAAGGGUGUUUGGAGUUAUUCUGUCUUAUUUUUAUUUUUCAAAAAUUACUAAUGAGGUGAAAAUUCCUCAGUGUUAUCUGAUAGACGAGAAGACCCUAAGAAUUACUACAACUGUUUAAUUAUUAAAUAAAAGUUUUUGUUGGGGCAACAACUUUGAUUAACCAAAGUUAAAUAAAUUUUUUAUUAAGUAGACUGUAUUAAAAAUGAAUUUAAUUACCUUAGGGAUAACAGCAUAAUUAUAUUUUUAGAUUGUGACCUCGAUGUUGGAUUAAGGCCU
rnacentral:rRNA from 1 species